UGUCCCAGCCGCCGCGGUAAUACGUAGGUGGCAAGCGUUGUCCGGAAUUAUUGGGCGUAAAGCGCGCGCAGGCGGUCUCUUAAGUCUGAUGUGAAAGCCCACGGCUCAACCGUGGAGGGUCAUUGGAAACUGGGAGACUUGAGUACAGAAGAGGAGAGUGGAAUUCCACGUGUAGCGGUGAAAUGCGUAGAUAUGUGGAGGAACACCAGUGGCGAAGGCGACUCUCUGGUCUGUAACUGACGCUGAGGCGCGAAAGCGUGGGGAGCAAACAGGAUUAGAUACCCUGGUAGUCCACGCCGUAAACGAUGAGUGCUAGGUGUUAGGGGUUUCGAUGCCCUUAGUGCCGAAGUUAACACAUUAAGCACUCCGCCUGGGGAGUACGACCGCAAGGUUGAAACUCAAAGGAAUUGACGGGGGCCCGCACAAGCAGUGGAGCAUGUGGUUUAAUUCGAAGCAACGCGAAGAACCUUACCAGGUCUUGACAUCCUUUGACCACUCUAGAGAUAGAGCUUUCCCCUUCGGGGGACAAAGUGACAGGUGGUGCAUGGUUGUCGUCAGCUCGUGUCGUGAGAUGUUGGGUUAAGUCCCGCAACGAGCGCAACCCUUGAUCUUAGUUGCCAGCAUUCAGUUGGGCACUCUAAGGUGACUGCCGGUGACAAACCGGAGGAAGGUGGGGAUGACGUCAAAUCAUCAUGCCCCUUAUGACCUGGGCUACACACGUGUUACAAUGGAUGGUACAAAGGGCUGCAAAACCGCGAGGUUGAGCGAAUCCCAUAAAGCCAUUCUCAGUUCGGAUUGUAGGCUGCAACUCGCCUACAUGAAGCCGGAAUUGCUAGUAAUCGCGGAUCAGCAUGCCGCGGUGAAUACGUUCCCGGGCCUUGUACACACCGCCCGUCACACCACGAGAGUUUGUAACACCCGAAGUCGGUGAGGUAACCUUUUGGAGCCAGCCGCCUAAGGUGGGACAGAUGAUUGGGGUGAAGUCGUAACAAGGUA
rnacentral:rRNA from 1 species